AUCAUGGCUCAGGAUGAACGCUAGCUACAGGCUUAACACAUGCAAGUCGAGGGGAAACGACAUCGAAAGCUUGCUUUUGAUGGGCGUCGACCGGCGCACGGGUGAGUAACGCGUAUCCAACCUGCCCACCACUUGGGGAUAACCUUGCGAAAGUAAGACUAAUACCCAAUGACGUCUCUAGAAGACAUCUGAAGGAGAUUAAAGAUUUAUCGGUGAUGGAUGGGGAUGCGUCUGAUUAGCUUGUUGGCGGGGUAACGGCCCACCAAGGCGACGAUCAGUAGGGGUUCUGAGAGGAAGGUCCCCCACAUUGGAACUGAGACACGGUCCAAACUCCUACGGGAGGCAGCAGUGAGGAAUAUUGGUCAAUGGACGAGAGUCUGAACCAGCCAAGUAGCGUGCAGGAUGACGGCCCUAUGGGUUGUAAACUGCUUUUAUAAGGGAAUAAAGUGAGUCUCGUGAGACUUUUUGCAUGUACCUUAUGAAUAAGGACCGGCUAAUUCCGUGCCAGCAGCCGCGGUAAUACGGAAGGUCCGGGCGUUAUCCGGAUUUAUUGGGUUUAAAGGGAGCGUAGGCCGGAGAUUAAGCGUGUUGUGAAAUGUAGACGCUCAACGUCUGCACUGCAGCGCGAACUGGUUUCCUUGAGUACGCACAAAGUGGGCGGAAUUCGUGGUGUAGCGGUGAAAUGCUUAGAUAUCACGAAGAACUCCGAUUGCGAAGGCAGCUCACUGGAGCGCAACUGACGCUGAAGCUCGAAAGUGCGGGUAUCGAACAGGAUUAGAUACCCUGGUAGUCCGCACGGUAAACGAUGGAUGCCCGCUGUUGGUCUGAAUAGGUCAGCGGCCAAGCGAAAGCAUUAAGCAUCCCGCCUGGGGAGUACGCCGGCAACGGUGCAACUCAAAUGAAUUGACGGA
rnacentral:rRNA from 1 species